UGGGGAAUAUUGGACAAUGGGGGCAACCCUGAUCCAGCCAUGCCGCGUGUGUGAAGAAGGCCUUUUGGUUGUAAAGCACUUUAAGCAGGGAGGAGAGGCUAAUGGUUAAUACCCAUUAGAUUAGACGUUACCUGCAGAAUAAGCACCGGCUAACUCUGUGCCAGCAGCCGCGGUAAUACAGAGGGUGCGAGCGUUAAUCGGAAUUACUGGGCGUAAAGCGAGUGUAGGUGGCUCAUUAAGUCACAUGUGAAAUCCCCGGGCUUAACCUGGGAACUGCAUGUGAUACUGGUGGUGCUAGAAUAUGUGAGAGGGAAGCAGAAUUCCAGGUGUAGCGGUGAAAUGCGUAGAGAUCUGGAGGAAUACCGAUGGCGAAGGCAGCUUCCUGGCAUAAUAUUGACACUGAGAUUCGAAAGCGUGGGUAGCAAACAGG
rnacentral:rRNA from 1 species